rnacentral:lncRNA from 1 species
AAAAAGUAUACUAAUAUUUUUUUUAUUAUUUUCAAAUAUCAUACAUUUUUUAUAUAUAAAGAGAUAUGUGUAUAUACAUAAAUGGAAAAUAAAAAUAAUAAGAUUAGUAGUAUACAGACUGAUCUUUCUUUUGUCCAGUAUAUUCGAAUGAAAUUCAAAGCCUACUCUUGCAUGUUCCAUUCGUGCAUCUGCUGCUUCCUUAUCUUUCUAGUUGC